AGUGAACGCUGGCGGCAUGCUUUACACAUGCAAGUCGAACGGUAACAGGUUAAGCUGACGAGUGGCGAACGGGUGAGUAAUGCAUCGGAACGUGCCCGAUCGUGGGGGAUAACGCAGCGAAAGCUGCGCUAAUACCGCAUACGAUCUGAGGAUGAAAGCGGGGGACCGUAAGGCCUCGCGCGAUCGGAGCGGCCGAUGUCAGAUUAGGUAGUUGGUGGGGUAAAGGCUCACCAAGCCAACGAUCUGUAGCUGGUCUGAGAGGACGACCAGCCACACUGGGACUGAGACACGGACCAGACGCCUACGGGAGGCAGCAGUGGGGAAUUUUGGACAAUGGGCGAAAGCCUGAUCCAGCAAUGCCGCGUGCAGGAAGAAGGCCGUCGGGUUGUAAACUGCUUUUGUACGGAGCGAAAAGGCUCUCUCUAAUACAGGGGGCUCAUGACGGUACCGUAAGAAUAAGCACCGGCUAACUACGUGCCAGCCGCCGCGGUAA
rnacentral:rRNA from 1 species